GAGGCCUGUCCGGCUGCGCUUCGCCGAUGUUUUCACAGACGGGAGCUUGGAGGCAGCCGAGCAAGCCCACUGGCGCCAUUUCCCAACAGGCCAGGGGGAUGGUGAGCAGUUUGGGGCAGAGAGCGUUUUGACGAUGGAGCUGAGCACAUUUCUUUUGGACGCGAUGCUAUUGCUCACCCAGACUCGCUGGAGAUGACACCACUUUCAGGCGCCCUGGGAAACCAGAAAACCGGUGCCUGGGACCGAACCCGCAGCGUCCCCGGGGGAGGCCUGUCUCCGCUGUGGGAUGGAGGUGCGAGUAAAGGGGCGAGUCCGCUGGAGGCAGAGUGCAAGGCGGAGGAAGCGGCCCCAGCCCCGCUCCUCGAGAAGACAGGCUGCUCAGAACGGCUCGACACUUCCUACCCAACGUCUUGAAUUCUAAGAAAUGAUUGAUCGUGUUGGAAAAUCCUCUUUCCUGAUCUGGGAAUCUUCCCUCUGGGGGAGCCUCCCUCCGUGGGGAUGCAGGCGGACGCACAGCACUGGCUCACCUGGAGCGCCGCGGGCGUGGCCUUGCCGUUCUUCCUGGAGAUGUGCCUCAUCACCUGCAUGGCCUCGGCGUGUCUGUUCUGGGAGAGCAGCCACCUCGGCGAC